GCGCAGCAGUCGCGAAUUUUUCACAAUGGGGGAAACCCUGAUGGAGCGACGCCGCGUGGAGGAUGAAGGCCUUUUGGUCGUAAACUCCUGUCAAACGGGAACAAGAAAGUGAUAGUACCGUUAGAGGAAGAGACGGCUAACUCUGUGCCAGCAGCCGCGGUAAUACAGAGGUCUCAAGCGUUGUUCGGAUUCAUUGGGCGUAAAGGGUGCGUAGGUGGCAUGGUAAGUUGAAGGUGAAAUCUCGGAGCUUAACUCCGAAACUGCCUUCAAUACUGCUGUGCUUGAGGACUGUAGAGGAGAAUGGAAUUCAUGGUGUAGCAGUGAAAUGCGUAGAUAUCAUGAGGAAGACCAGUGGCGAAGGCGAUUCUCUGGGCAGUUCCUGACACUGAGGCACGAAGGCUAGGGGAGCAAACGGGAUUAGAUACCCCGGUAGU
rnacentral:rRNA from 1 species